rnacentral:rRNA from 1 species
GAUGAACUCUGACAGAAUGCUUAACACAUGCAAGUCAACUGUGGCGGACGGUUGAGUAACGCGUAAAGAACUUGCCUCACAGCUAGGGACAACAUUUGGAAACGACUGCUAAUACCUGAUACUGUGAGAUAGCUUUGCGUCCCAUUAGCUAGUUGGAGAGGUAACGUCUCACCAAGGCGAUGAUGGGUAGCCGGCCUGAGAGGGUGAUCGGCCACAAGGGGACUGAGAUACUGCCCUUAGUCCUACGGGAGGCAGCAGUGGGGAAUAUUGGAUAAGUGACCAAAGUCUGAUCCAGAAAUGCUGUGUGCACGAUGAAGUUUUCGGAAUGUAAAGUGCUUUCAGUUGGGAAGCGGUACCAACAGAAGAAGUGACGGCUAAAUACGUGCCAGCAGCCGCGGUAAUUC